UACGUAGGGGCUAGCGUUAUCCGGAUUUACUGGGCGUAAAGCGCGUGUAGGUGGUUCUGUAAGUAGGGCGUGAAAGCUCCCGGCUCAACUGGGAGAGGCCGUUCUAAACUGCAGAGCUAGAGGAUGGUAGAGGGAGGUGGAAUUCCAGGUGUAGCGGUGGAAUGCGCAGAUAUCACGAGGAACUCCGAUUGCGCAGGCAGCUUACUAAACCAUAACUGACGCUCAGGCACGAAGGCGUGGGGAUCAAACAGGAUUAGAUACCCGGGUA
rnacentral:rRNA from 1 species